rnacentral:misc_RNA from 1 species
UAAAUAUCAUCUUGAAGUUUCAUAAAGAAAAUUUUUGGCCAAUUGGAUUUGUUGAAAUAUCUCUUUUUGGGAAUCUACCGUAAUUUGUAAUAGUUUGUUCUUGAAGAGGACCAUGCUUAACGAUUCAAUGAAUUGUUCUUGUUUAUUCAAUGAAAUAUUUGACAUCAUUUUUUGGACUGUUACCUUGCUCUUAACCUAUAA